UACGGGGGGGGCAAGCGUUGUUCGGAAUUACUGGGCGUAAAGGGUGCGUAGGCGGUCGGGUAAGUCUGACGUGAAAUCUCCAAGCUCAACUUGGAAAUGGCGUCGGAUACUAUUCGGCUCGAGGAGUGGAGGGGAGACUGGAAUUCUCGGUGUAGCAGUGAAAUGCGUAGAUAUCGAGAGGAACACCAGUGGCGAAGGCGAGUCUCUGGACACUUCCUGGCGCUGAGGCACGAAAGCCAGGGGAGCAAACGGG
rnacentral:rRNA from 1 species